UAGCGAAGGGGGCUAGCGUUGCUCGGAAUCACUGGGCGUAAAGCGCACGUUAGGCGGCUUUUUAAGUCAGAGGUGAAAUCCUGGAGCUCAACUCCAGAACUGCCUUUGAUACUGGAGAGCUGAGUCCGGGAGAGGUGAGUGGAACUGCGAGUGUAGAGGUGAAAUUCGUAGAUAUUCGCAAGAACACCAGUGGCGAAGGCGGCUCACUGGCCCGGUACUGACGCUGAGGUGCGAAAGCGUGGGGAGCAAACAGGG
rnacentral:rRNA from 1 species